UUUAAGUUACACAGUAGCCCGCUUCAUUUCAGUCAGUAGGUUGUGCCUUGGUUUUUAGUUCUGCUUUACAUAUUUAGCAGGUGCAGCAAUGUGUGGAACGCAACUUCGUCCUGGUGCUACGAUCGGCAAAUCCUUCGAAUUCAAUUAAGAAAAUGUUCAGCGCCUGCAAGUGGUUUGUAGUGGAAGUGUUCAUUUACCUUGUACAAAGAAAGAUGGUUAUUACUCAGAACUCUGCAGGUCCAUUCCACUUUAAAUGGAAUUUCUCAGCCAGCGUUUGCUCUUGCUGCUGCUCGUAGAAGAUAAUGGAAUCCCCACCUAUGGAUAUCCACCGCCUCGACUAAUAAGAACAAUUUGCAAAGGCCGAGCCGGUGUACACAACGGUGACGACUGAUGAUCUGGCCAUAAUCGUAUGGGACAAUGUGACAAGUAAGCAAGAAAAGCUAUGCGCCUAAUUCGAACUAAAAUCGAUGUCAAUCAAUUGCAUUUGUGGAUG